rnacentral:rRNA from 1 species
UGGGGAAUAUUGCACAAUGGGCGAAAGCCUGAUGCAGCAACGCCGCGUGAGUGAUGAAGGCCUUCGGGUUGUAAAGCUCUGUCUUUUGGGACGAUAAUGACGGUACCAAAGGAGGAAACCACGGCUAACUACGUGCCAGCAGCCGCGGUAAUACGUAGGUGGCAAGCGUUGUCCGGAUUUACUGGGCGUAAAGGAUGCGUAGGCGGAUUUUUAAGUGAGAUGUGAAAACCCUAAGCUUAACUUGGGGACUGCAUUUCAUACUGGAAAUCUAGAGUGCGGGAGAGGAGAAUGGAAUUCCUAGUGUAGCGGUGAAAUGCGUAGAGAUUAGGAAGAACACCAGUGGCGAAGGCGAUUCUCUGGACCGUAACUGACGCUGAGGCAUGAAAGCGUGGGUAGCAAACAGGAUUAGAUACCCUGGUAGUCCACGCCGUAAACGAUGAGUACUAGGUGUAGGAGGUAUCGACCCCUUCUGUGCCGCAGUUAACACAAUAAGUACUCCGCCUGGGAAGUACGAUCGCAAGAUUAAAACUUAAAUGAAUUGACGGGGUCAUAGCUGUUUCCU